rnacentral:rRNA from 1 species
UGAGGAAUAUUGGUCAAUGGGCGAGAGCCUGAACCAGCCAAAUCGCGUGAAGGAAGACUGCCUUAUGGGUUGUAAACUUCUUUUAUACAGGAAUAAAAAACGGGGACGUGUCCCUUAUUGCAUGUACUGUAUGAAUAAGCAUCGGCUAACUCCGUGCCAGCAGCCGCGGUAAUACGGAGGAUGCGAGCGUUAUCCGGAUUUAUUGGGUUUAAAGGGUGCGCAGGCGGGCUUUUAAGUCAGCGGUGAAAUCUCGGGGCUUAACUCCGAAACUGCCGUUGAAACUGGGAGUCUUGAGUAUGGAUGAAGUAGGCGGAAUUCGUUGUGUAGCGGUGACAUGCUUAGAUAUAACGAGGAACUCCGAUUGCGUAGGCAGCUUACUAAGCCAUAACUGACGCUCAAGCACGAAAGCGUGGGGAUCAAAACAGGAUUAGAUACCCUGGUAGUCCACGCCGUAAAACGAUGAUUACUAGUUGUAUGCGAUAUACCGUAUGUGACUAAGCGAAAAGCGAU